AUUGAACGCUGGCGGCAGGCCUAACACAUGCAAGUCGAGCGGAUGAAGGGAGUUUGCUCCUGGAUUCAGCGGCGGACGGGUGAGUAAUGCCUAGGAAUCUGCCUGGUAGUGGGGGAUAACGUCCGGAAACGGGCGCUAAUACCGCAUACGUCCUGAGGGAGAAAGUGGGGGAUCUUCGGACCUCACGCUAUCAGAUGAGCCUAGGUCGGAUUAGCUAGUUGGUGGGGUAAAGGCCUACCAAGGCGACGAUCCGUAACUGGUCUGAGAGGAUGAUCAGUCACACUGGAACUGAGACACGGUCCAGACUCCUACGGGAGGCAGCAGUGGGGAAUAUUGGACAAUGGGCGAAAGCCUGAUCCAGCCAUGCCGCGUGUGUGAAGAAGGUCUUCGGAUUGUAAAGCACCUUAAGUUGGGAGGAAGGGCAGUAAGUUAAUACCUUGCUGUUUUGACGUUACCAACAGAAUAAGCACCGGCUAACUUCGUG
rnacentral:rRNA from 1 species